ensembl:snRNA U6 U6 spliceosomal RNA
GCUUGCUUCGGCAGAAUACAUACUAAAAUUGGAAUGAAACAGAGAUUCGCAUGGGCUCUUCACAAGGAUGACAUGCAAAUUCAUGAAGCAUUCCAUAUUACA